ACACAAAUCACCCAAAUACCUUGUCAAAAUGCAGAUUUUUAUUUUGUUGGUCUGGGUAAAGCAUUCCAUAUUUCUGACCAGUUCCUAGGUGACCUGGAU
rnacentral:pre_miRNA from 1 species